UAGUGGCGAACGGGUGAGUAACACGUGGGCAAUCUGCCCUUCACUCUGGGACAAGCCCUGGAAACGGGGUCUAAUACCGGAUAACACUCUGUCCCGCAUGGGACGGGGUUGAAAGCUCCGGCGGUGAAGGAUGAGCCCGCGGCCUAUCAGCUUGUUGGUGGGGUGAUGGCCUACCAAGGCGACGACGGGUAGCCGGCCUGAGAGGGCGACCGGCCACACUGGGACUGAGACACGGCCCAGACUCCUACGGGAGGCAGCAGUGGGGAAUAUUGCACAAUGGGCGAAAGCCUGAUGCAGCGACGCCGCGUGAGGGAUGACGGCCUUCGGGUUGUAAACCUCUUUCAGCAGGGAAGAAGCGAAAGUGACGGUACCUGCAGAAGAAGCGCCGGCUAACUACGUGCCAGCAGCCGCGGUAAUACGUAGGGCGCAAGCGUUGUCCGGAAUUAUUGGGCGUAAAGAGCUCGUAGGCGGCUUGUUGCNGUCGGNUUGUGAAAAGCCCGGGGCUUAACCCCNGGNUCUGCAGUCGAUACGGGGCAGGCUAGAGUGUGGUAGGGGAAGAUCGGAAUUCNU
rnacentral:rRNA from 1 species